UACAGAGGGGGCAAGCGUUGUUCGGAAUUACUGGGCGUAAAGGGCGCGUAGGCGGCCUGUUAAGUCGAACGUGAAAUCCCCGGGCUCAACCCGGGAACUGCGUCCGAUACUGGCAGGCUUGAAUCCGGGAGAGGGAUGCGGAAUUCCAGGUGUAGCGGUGAAAUGCGUAGAUAUCUGGAGGAACACCGGUGGCGAAGGCGGCAUCCUGGACCGGCAUUGACGCUGAGGCGCGAAAGCCAGGGGGAGCAAAACAGG
rnacentral:rRNA from 1 species